GGGGCAAUGCGGCNUGCUAUACAUGCAGUAGAACGCUGAAGAGAGGAGCUUGCUCUUCUUGGAUGAGUUGCGAACGGGUGAGUAACGCGUAGGUAACCUGCCUUGUAGCGGGGGAUAACUAUUGGAAACGAUAGCUAAUACCGCAUAACAAUGGAUGACACAUGUCAUUUAUUUGAAAGGGGCAAUUGCUCCACUACAAGAUGGACCUGCGUUGUAUUAGCUAGUAGGUGAGGUAAUGGCUCACCUAGGCGACGAUACAUAGCCGACCUGAGAGGGUGAUCGGCCACACUGGGACUGAGACACGGCCCAGACUCCUACGGGAGGCAGCAGUAGGGAAUCUUCGGCAAUGGGGGCAACCCUGACCGAGCAACGCCGCGUGAGUGAAGAAGGUUUUCGGAUCGUAAAGCUCUGUUGUAAGUCAAGAACGGGUGUGAGAGUGGAAAGUUCACACUGUGACGGUAGCUUACCAGAAAGGGACGGCUAACUACGUGCCAGCAGCCGCGGUAAUACGUAGGUCCCGAGCGUUGUCCGGAUUUAUUGGGCGUAAAGCGAGCGCAGGCGGUUUGAUAAGUCUGAAGUUAAAGGCUGUGGCUCAACCAUAGUUCGCUUUGGAAACUGUCAAACUUGAGUGCAGAAGGGGAGAGUGGAAUUCCAUGUGUAGCGGUGAAAUGCGUAGAUAUAUGGAGGAACACCGGUGGCGAAAGCGGCUCUCUGGUCUGUAACUGACGCUGAGGCUCGAAAGCGUGGGGAGCGAACAGGAUUAGAUACCCUGGUAGUCCACGCCGUAAACGAUGAGUGCUAGGUGUUGGAUCCUUUCCGGGAUUCAGUGCCGCAGCUAACGCAUUAAGCACUCCGCCUGGGGAGUACGACCGCAAGGUUGAAACUCAAAGGAAUUGACGGGGGCCCGCACAAGCGGUGGAGCAUGUGGUUUAAUUCGAAGCAACGCGAAGAACCUUACCAGGUCUUGACAUCCCGAUGCUAUUUCUAGAGAUAGAAAGUUACUUCGGUACAUCGGUGACAGGUGGUGCAUGGUUGUCGUCAGCUCGUGUCGUGAGAUGUUGGGUUAAGUCCCGCAACGAGCGCAACCCCUAUUGUUAGUUGCCAUCAUUCAGUUGGGCACUCUAGCGAGACUGCCGGUAAUAAACCGGAGGAAGGUGGGGAUGACGUCAAAUCAUCAUGCCCCUUAUGACCUGGGCUACACACGUGCUACAAUGGUUGGUACAACGAGUUGCGAGUCGGUGACGGCGAGCUAAUCUCUUAAAGCCAAUCUCAGUUCGGAUUGUAGGCUGCAACUCGCCUACAUGAAGUCGGAAUCGCUAGUAAUCGCGGAUCAGCACGCCGCGGUGAAUACGUUCCCGGGCCUUGUACACACCGCCCGUCACACCACGAGAGUUUGUAACACCCGAAGUCGGUGAGGUAACCUUUGGAGCCAGCCGCCUAAGGUGACAGAUGAUGUG
rnacentral:rRNA from 1 species